CUACGGAGGGUGCAAGCGUUACUCGGAAUCACUGGGCGUAAAGCGCGCGCAGGCGGCUAUUUAAGUUGGAUGUGAAAGCCUACGGCUCAACCGUAGAACUGCAUCCAAAACUAUUUAGCUAGAGUGUGGGAGAGGAAGAUGGAAUUAGUUGUGUAGGGGUAAAAUCCGUAGAGAUAACUAGGAAUACCAAAAGCGAAGGCGAUCUUCUGGAACAGUACUGACGCUGAGGCGCGAAAGCGUGGGGAGCAAACAGGAUUAGAAACCCUAGUAGUCC
rnacentral:rRNA from 1 species